rnacentral:misc_RNA from 1 species
GGUUCAGAUUCUUCUCUCUGCGAAAACUCUCUCCUUUAGCCACCUUAUCUCUCUAUCUAUCUUGGGGUCUGUCUCUCAUGCUUUCCUCUUGAAAAACCAAGUGCUGGGUUUUCUUUAAGGGGCCUAUAGAGAGAUAGAGAGAUAGGAAGGAGAAACAUGGAGGCUGUGCUACAGACCAAAGGGCUUCUUUCCCUGCCACCAAAUCCCAAAAUCAGAGCUUCUUUGUAUCCCUCACAGGGCUUAAAGCGCAGGCUUUUUGCUGCUAAACCUAAAACCCUUUCUGGGCUUUCUUUAUCUUCAAAUGGUUUUCCUAGAUUUCCCAGCGUUGUGUCGAAACCAAAUGGGUUUCCCACAAAAGACGGAAAUUUGCAUAUUUGCAGGGCAGAGGCUGUGGCUGCUGCUGAUGGGCAACCUUUAUUUGGCGAAGCUGAGAAGCCUAAGCUCUUGGGUAUUGAGCUUUCGACUCUUAAGAAAAUUAUCCCACUGGGAUUGAUGUUCUUUUGUAUUCUUUUUAAUUACACAAUCCUCAGAGGCACAUGGUCGUGACGGCUAAAGGGAGUAGUGCAGAGAUUAUACCAUUUCUGAAAACUUGGGUGAAUUUGCCUAUGGCUAUUGGAUUUAUGUUGUUGUACACACAAUUGGCUAACGUUUUGUCUAAGCAGGCUCUCUUU